GAUUAGGUGGUCGAUAAUGUCGGUUGAUUGUAAAUCAUCUUAUAGAAUAUAAAAUUCUCUUAAUCA
rnacentral:tRNA from 1 species